rnacentral:rRNA from 1 species
UACAGAGGUCCCGAGCGUUGUUCGGAUUUAUUGGGCGUAAAGGGUGCGUAGGUGGCAAAGUAAGUUGGAUGUGAAAUCCUGGGGCUCAACCUCAGAAUUGCAUUCAAUACUGCUUAGCUAGAGAGCUGUAGAAGAGACUGGAAUUUACGGUGUAGCAGUGAAAUGCGUAGAUAUCGUAAGGAACGCCAGUGGCGAAAGCGAGUCUCUGGGCAGCAUCUGACACUGAGGCACGAAGGCCAGGGGAGCAAACGGG